CACAGCAGCCGGGUAUGGGGGCAGGGCUGGGUGUUCUGAGACCUUCAGAAGCCUGGUCAUGGAGAGCCUGCCCAGGGACCCCCCUGCCUCGCCCCCCAGGCCCCAUGGCGGCAGAGACUCACAGGCAAAGAACUGCCAGGGCUGGUAGGUGCGGCCGAAGUCCAUGGACCGCUCCAGCACCCAGAGGUCCGGCCGGGCAGGUGCACCUGGGAACAGCUGGGUGCUGUUGGCCAGGUAGGCCUGGGAGCCUAGGGCCCCAAGGGGGAGAGCAGGGUCCCCCAGAGCUGCACGAGACCUACAGUCACCCUACUGGACUGAGCCAGACUGCUGUGGGGUCCCCCAUGAAAAGACCACAGACCCCUCAUAGCUUCAGCCCUUAGGGGCACCAGCUGCCCAGACUCCAGACAGGGGCCCUGGACAGCUGUCCUCGAGGGCCUGGUGGCUGCACAGAUGCUCACAGGAAGGGAAGCCCGCACUGGAGGACUCCCAUCUGUCUCUGACCUGGUCGCGGCUCCCAGGGCCACACCGGCCGCCCUCGCCAUGACCCGGAGCGAGCGCAGACCCUAGGCUUCAGGACCGCCCUUCCCCCUCCACGCCCCGCUCAGCUCAGCUGCCAGUGCUGACCUUUCCGCUGCUACAUAGUUCUGUGCAGAAAGAAAAAAAAUUCUUUUAAAGCAAAAGC
rnacentral:antisense_RNA from 1 species